CCUACGGGAGGCAGCAGUGGGGAAUUUUGGACAAUGGGCGCAAGCCUGAUCCAGCAAUGCCGCGUGAGUGAAGAAGGCCUUCGGGUUGUAAAGCUCUUUUGUCAGGGAAGAAACGGUGAAGGCUAAUAUCCUUUGCUAAUGACGGUACCUGAAGAAUAAGCACCGGCUAACUACGUGCCAGCAGCCGCGGUAAUACGUAGGGUGCAAGCGUUAAUCGGAAUUACUGGGCGUAAAGCGUGCGCAGGCGGUUUUGUAAGUUUGUCGUGAAAUCCCCGGGCUCAACCUGGGAAUGGCGAUGAAGACUGCAAGGCUAGAAUCUGGCAGAGGGGGGUAGAAUUCCACGUGUAGCAGUGAAAUGCGUAGAGAUGUGGAGGAACACCGAUGGCGAAGGCAGCCCCCUGGGUCAAGAUUGACGCUCAUGCACGAAAGCGUGGGGAGCAAACAGGAUUAGAUACCCUGGUAGUCCACGCCCUAAACGAUGUCUACUAGUUGUCGGGUUUUAAUACUUGUAACGCAGCUAACGCGUGAGUAGACCGCCUGGGGAGUACGGUCGCGAAGAUUAAAACCUUCAAAUGAAAUUGACGGCUUGGNGAGNGCGACGGACGACGACGAGGGAGGAGG
rnacentral:rRNA from 1 species